AAAUUGAAGAGUUUGAUCAUGGCUCAGAUUGAACGCUGGCGGCAGGCCUAACACAUGCAAGUCGAACGGUAACAGAAAGCAGCUUGCUGCUUUGCUGACGAGUGGCGGACGGGUGAGUAAUGUCUGGGAAACUGCCUGAUGGAGGGGGAUAACUACUGGAAACGGUAGCUAAUACC
rnacentral:rRNA from 1 species